UCCGCAGGCGGGCAAUUAAGUCAGAGGUGAAAUCCCACAGCUCAACUGUGGAACUGCCUUUGAUACUGGUUGUCUUGAGUUAUAGUGAAGUAGAUAGAAUAUGUAGUGUAGCGGUGAAAUGCAUAGAUAUUACAUAGAAUACCGAUUGCGAAGGCAGGCUACUAACUAUAUACUGACGCUGAUGGACGAAAGCGUGGGGAGCGAACAGGAUUAGAUACCCUGGUAGUCC
rnacentral:rRNA from 1 species